UUUUGUAGAAUGAACCGGCGAGUUACGUUCCCGUGCAAGGUUAAGGUGAGAAGCCGGAGCCGCAGCGAAAGCGAGUCUGAAUAGGGCGAUAUAGUACGUGGACGUAGACCCGAAACCGUGUGAUCUACCCCUGCCCAGGGUGAAGGUGCGGUAACACGCACUGGAGGCCCGAACCCACGAAUGUUGAAAAAUUCGGGGAUGAGGUGGGGGUAGCGGAGAAAUUCCAAUCGAACUCGGAGAUAGCUGGUUCUCCCCGAAAUAGCUUUAGGGCUAGCCUCGGGAGAUGAGUAGUGGAGGUAAAGCACUGAUUGGGUGCGGGGCCCGCCAAGGGUUACCAAGUCCAGUCAAACUCUGAAUGCCACAUACUUUAUCCCGGGAGUCAGACAGUGAGUGCUAAGAUCCAUUGUCAAGAGGGAAACAGCCCAGAUCAUCAGCUAAGGUCCCCCAGUGUGUGUUAAGUGGGAAAGGAUGUGGAGUUGCAAAGACAACCAGGAUGUUGGCUUAGAAGCAGCCACCAUUGAAAGAGUGCGUAAUAGCUCACUGGUCGAGUGACUCUGCGCCGAAAAUGUAACGGGGCUAAACACACCACCGAAGCUAUGACCUGAACAAGUAAUUGUUCUUGGGUAGGGGAGCGUUGUAUGUAGGUUGAAGGUGUACUGUAAAGAG
rnacentral:rRNA from 1 species